rnacentral:rRNA from 1 species
UACGAAGGGGGCUAGCGUUGUUCGGAAUUACUGGGCGUAAAGCGCUCGCAGGCGGAUUGAUAAGUCGGGGGUGAAAUCCCGGGGCUCAACCUCGGAAUUGCCUUCGAUACUGUCUAUCUAGAGUCCGGGAGAGGUGAGUGGAAUUCCUAGUGUAGAGGUGAAAUUCGUAGAUAUUAGGAAGAACACCAGUGGCGAAGGCGGCUCACUGGCCCGGAACUGACGCUCAUGAGCGAAAGCGUGGGGAGCAAACAGGAUUAGAUACCCUGGUAGUCCACGCCGUAAACGAUGGAUGCUAGCCGUUGGGAAGCUUGCUUUUCAGUGGCGCAGCUAACGUAUUAAGCAUCCCGCCUGGGGAGUACGGUCGCAAGAUUAAA